rnacentral:rRNA from 1 species
AGUGAACGCUGGCGGUAGGCCUAACACAUGCAAGUCGAACGGCAGCACAGUAAGAGCUUGCUCUUACGGGUGGCGAGUGGCGGACGGGUGAGGAAUACAUCGGAAUCUACUUUUUCGUGGGGGAUAACGUAGGGAAACUUACGCUAAUACCGCAUACGACCUACGGGUGAAAGCAGGGGAUCUUCGGACCUUGCGCGAUUGAAUGAGCCGAUGUCGGAUUAGCUAGUUGGCGGGGUAAAGGCCCACCAAGGCGACGAUCCGUAGCUGGUCUGAGAGGAUGAUCCGCCACACUGGAACUGAGACACGGUCCAGACUCCUACGGGAGGCAGCAGUGGGGAAUAUUGGACAAUGGGCGCAAGCCUGAUCCAGCCAUACCGCGUGGGUGAAGAAGGCCUUCGGGUUGUAAAGCCCUUUUGUUGGGGAAGAAAAGCAGCAGGUUAAUCCCCCGCUGUUCUGACGGUACCCAAAGAAUAAGCACCGGCUAACUUCGUG